rnacentral:lncRNA from 1 species
GUUAUUUUUAGAUAGUUCAUACUUCGUACAAUGAGUUAUGCCUCUUUCUGCAUGCAAACAUUUUUCUUCAAAAUUGAUUGGGUUCAUUUUUUAAAGCCAAUUCCGGAGAUUUAAGGAAGUAAUUUAUUUUUAUUUCGGCAGGUUGAGACAGUGAGACUUAAUAUUUCCAGGACCAUGCAACAACAAUGUCAUUGUGCACGUUAGUCAAAAACACACCAACUAAAUCAUGAACAAAACAAUGGUAGUAUCCGACGACUGGCGGAUUGAUUCCACCACAUUGAAUCGAUUCUUUUUUUACUAGUAUAUGAAACAAUUGCUAUGGAAUGUCAUCUCAACUUACGAGACAUAAACUCUACAUAUUCAGCUGCAGCAGGAUGUUGAUAUAGGCCACUAAAUAGUAUACAAAAGAGAUCGAAAAGGCACGCAUCAUAGGAAUAACAGAUAAAAAAAUGAUCCAAUAUUGUUAAACAAAUUGGCAAACUUGGUUCCCAUUUUUUUUUCUUUUUCUUUUGUCAUGAGAAAAUCUGCAAAACGCAUUUCAAAUGUUGUGCAUGGCGUCAGUACAGAAAAUAAAGACAAAGUAGUUAUCGUUUAUGUCUGUAUUCAAAAGGCAUUAGUAAGAUCUGAAGAUGUCAAGAAAAACAUCUUUUUUGCUAUAUAAGGAUUUUUAAAACCGUUGUUUUGCUUAGAAGUAGAAUAAAUAAGAGGCAGGAAAUAACAAAAGAACAAUCAAAUUCAUUCAUCGAAGAAAGAAAAUUACUAAAAGACAGACACAAUUUAAAUAAAAC